rnacentral:lncRNA from 1 species
AUGGACUUCCGGGUCAGCGCCAUUGGUGAAUGGCGGAGUUCCUCCGAUUGGAGGAACGGGCUCCGUGGAAACUGGGUCUUCCCGCUGGGCGAAGGUGGGGACCCGCUAGAAAUCCCAGGCAGAGGAAGCCUGGGAACGUGGGGUUCGGCAGGGCACCAGAAGCGCCCCCCUACUCGCGGGGAAUCCCAUUUAGGGGCUCCGGAGCGAAGUGGGGUGAGAAGUGCGGUGCUACGAACUGACUGCUACUUUCACGGAGUGAAGCCGCACAGCCAUUGCCAGAGAGUGCUGACUUUUUCCUGUGGACAAUUGGACUUAAAACAAGUACCCGUGAGUAGAAACGGAAAAUUGGAUCAAGAAAUUGCUUAAUUUGGUAUCGAAGUGGGAAGGUGCAAAACAGGAAGUCCGCCUUCCGCUUUUUGUAUAUAGACUAAAGCAAAAAUUUUGUAAGCUAAAGCCGGGAAAGCUGUCAAAAAAGACUAAAUUUCCUUCCUUCAGAAUCACUGAAACCCCCCUUGGAAGCAGGAGAAAAGGGGGGGGACUCUGUUUAACCCUAGCAGGGGAGGGAGUGAAGAAGGAUAAGUUUCCACCGUCUCUAACCUGGGAACGGGGUGUCAGAGACAGAAACUGUUAGAGAGGUUCAUUGACUGUGAAUGGAAUAUUUUGACAGAUAGCUAAUGAAGAGAAACAAGUUGAUUCUAAUGUUGCCUUUUGCAUUUUAAAGAAACAAAAUAUCUGAAAAACAUCUGAAAUAUCUGAAAAAUGAAAGUAACUUUCCUUUGUCUUUUAAAAAAAAAUGGAUACAAAUAGAAAUUGUCUCCUCUAGAGGGAGCUUGUUAAAUUGUUGCUGCAGUAUACUUGAGGACCCAACAUCUGUGAGAUUAAGAUCGUGGGAACAGUUUUUUCUGACCUUGACCAAAGAUGAGCUGGGAGGAAGACUGGGUGCUUGCUUUAUGCAAGACAAAUGCCUUGCUGGAACAGAUGCAUGAGAAGAUGGACUUGAUGAAUGAGAAAAUGGAUUUGACUGUCGUGGUUAAUAACUGUGGACAAACAGGGAACAUUGAUACAGAAAUCAUCCAGGAACCAACCUAUGAAUCUGUACUGACUGGGCAAGUGCAGAUGACAAUGGAGGAGGAUGCGGCUGCACCUCAAAUAAUACAAAUGGAGAGACCCGAGACCCUACAGGAGCAUAAGCCGCUGUUAUUGAAGAUUGAAGUUGGAGUGGGCCAGGGGGAGUUUGGAGAUGAGGAGGUUCCUAACCUUGGAGAGAUCUUGAAAUAUGAUUUUAAAUACUUUUUGGAUUAUAUCGAGGACUGUGGGGAGUGGGACUGUGGGGAAUGGGCGAGCUGGAUGAAGGGAGAUGGAGACAAUUUUGGGUUGGAAUCCCCCAGAGACCUACUCCUCAAUGAGAAAGGAAAGAAAUUAAGACAGAGACCAACAAAAGACAAGGAAAAGGGCAAGUACAAAUAAGAAGAAGAACUGCAGAAGGGACAUGGAAGAGACUUAAGGGCCUCGGACAUAAGGCUUCCAGGUUGAUGGACUAGAUGGAAUGGACAGUAAGGACUGACACGAUCCGAGACCAGGAAGAAGAGACACUGGAUGAUGAUUGGAAGAAAAUUUAUAAUGGAAAUUUUUUAUUUUAGAAUCAGCUUAAUGAAUAUUAGGGAAAAUGUUGGAAUGAAACUAUAUGACUCUAGCAGAAAUGAUAUCAGGAGCUAUGUAUAUUUGAAAACUAAGAUUUAAGUUUUAAGGUAUUUUGGGGUAAGAUAAGGUUAAAUAAAUUAAGGUAAUUUGAAUAACAGAAUAUGGGGAAAGAUGGAAAGGAUUUGUUGAGUUAACUAUUAGGUUAAAUUGUUAAGAUAAAUUUUUUUUAACAAAAAUUGAGAAAGAUGGAAAGAAUUUGCUGAAAUAAUUAAUUAAACUAGAAUAGAAAAAGGAAGGUGUGAGGAGGUCAACGAAACAAGCAAAUGGAAAUUAUAGAUAUGCAAUUUGGGAUUUGUGUUUUUUCUUUUUUCUUCUUUUUUUUGCUGUAUUGUAUUGGUUUUUAUAUUUUGCAUUUUUCUCUUUUCUUUUUGUAUUGUAGUGUUGUUUUUUAUUUUUUAUUUUUUUUGUAAUUCUGAAAUUAUUAAUAAAUAUUAUU